rnacentral:rRNA from 1 species
AUGAAGAUGGGGAGAGGAGCCGGCCGCGCUCUGCCGCUCGCCAUGGCGCUCCUCCUCGCGCUGCACCUGCACGCCACGCCGGCGUCGGCUGCCCCCAAGUCUUACCUGGUGAUCUUCGAUGGGCCGCCGCCCUCUCCGACUGGUCUGGCCGCUGCACUCGGCGGCACGGUCGACCUGAUCUACUCCUUCGGCGGCAUCAACGGGCUCGGGAUCCAGAUCGACAGCCUUCUCGUACCAGUCCUCAAACUGCUCAGCGGGGUGGUGGCCGUGAUCGAGGACAAGCUUUAUGCGGUCCAGACAACGCGCUCGUGGGAGUUCCUAGGGCUCCAAAAUUCUAACGGCGAGGCGCACGACGUGUGGAAGAACGUUGGCAAGUUCGGCGAGGGGGUCAUCAUUGCCAACGUCGACACAGGUGUAUCGCCGAUAUCUGCAAGCUUCAGGGACGACGGCACCUUGCCCAAACCGGCGAACUGGAUCGGUGGAUGCCAACCAGGCUACUCCGGCUGCAACAACAAGUUGAUCGGCGCGAGGGUUUUCAACGAGGGCAUCAAGGCAAUGAGCGAGCAGAACGGCGAGCAGGUGAACCAGACCGAGGUGAACUCGCCAUGGGACUACGAGGGGCACGGCACGCACACGCUGUCCACGGCCGGCGGCGGCUUUGUGCCCAAUGUCGGCGCCUUGGGCCACGGGACGGGCACGGCCAAGGGCGGCUCGCCGCGGGCGCAUGUGGCCUCGUACAAGGCGUGCUUCAAGGAAGGGUGCUCCGGCCUGGACAUCCUCAGGGCCAUACUCACGGCGGUGGAGGACGGCGUGCAUGUGCUCUCGCUCUCCGUCGGCUCCCCCGCCUCCGACUAUGCCACCGACACCAUUGCGAUAGGAACUGCCUACGCUGUCACCCAGUUGGUCGUCGUCGUCGCGGCGGGUGGCAACGAUGGCCCCGCGGCAGGCUCGAUCAGCAAUGUGGCUCCGUGGAUGCUCACCGUGGGCGCGAGCACCAUGGACAGAACCUUCCCCGCCGAUGUCGUCAUCGGUACCAAGACUAUCACGGGACAAAGUCUAUCAGGCAGCACCGACCAGCCAUGUGCGAUGAUCAGCGGGGAGAAGGCCAAUGCCGCAGGCCAAUCUGCCGCCAACUCGUCGUUGUGCGUGCCUGGCUCCCUGGACCCUGCCAAGGUGAGGGGGAAGAUAGUGGUGUGCACCAGAGGAUCCAACGGCCGAGUGGCCAAGGGGGAGGUGGUGAAGGACGCCGGCGGCGUCGGCAUGGUCCUCUGCAACGCCGCCGCCAGCGGGGACGACGUCAGCGCCGACCCGCACAUCAUCCCGGCGGCUCAUUGCUCCUACUCCCAGUGCAUAGACAUCUUCAACUACCUCCAGUCUGAUCCAUCACCGAUGGGUGCGAUCAAGACGAGGGACGCAGAGCUGGGUGUGAAGCCAUCGCCGGUGAUGGCAGCCUUCUCAUCCCGUGGGCCCAACACCAUCACCCCUCAGAUCCUCAAGCCCGACAUCAUCGCGCCAGGUGUGAACGUGAUCGCCGCGUACAGCCAGGAGGUCUCGCCGACGGGCCUGGCUUCCGACAGCCGCCGUGUCGCCUACAUGGUAGAGUCCGGCACCUCCAUGUCGUGUCCGCACGUGGCCGGCAUCGCCGGCCUGCUCAGGGCGAAAUACCCGAAAUGGAACCCAAACAUGGUCUAUUCCGCCAUCAUGACCACCGCCAACAGGGGAGGCAACGACGGUGUCGGGAUCCGGGACGAGACCGGCAAUGCCGCCACGCCCUUCAGCUAUGGCUCGGGCCACGUGAACCCGGUGAGGGCCCUGGACCCGGGCCUGGUGUACGACACCACGACGCAUGACUACCUCAACUUCAUCUGCUCCUUGAGGCCCACCAACACCCAGGGCCUCCUCCCGGUCUCGCUCCCGCUCCCGCUUGACAUACUCUGGACCCUGCUCAUCCGCGUGUUCCACGGCACCGACUCCAACCCGUUCCAAUGCAGCAAGGGCGCCAACCGCCCCGAGGACCUCAACUACCCGUCCAUCUCCGUGCCCUGCCUGCCCUCCUCCGGCAGCUUCACCGUGAAGCGUAGGGUGAGGAACGUGGGCGGCGGGGCGGCGUCGUACACCGUCAGCAUCACGCAGCCGGCCGGGGUGACGGUCAUUGUGGACCCCAGCACGGUGAGCUUUGACGGUAAGAGUCCAGACGAGGAGAAGCACUUCAAGGUGACGUUUCAAGUCUAUGACCCCGUCAAGGCUGCCAACUACGUGUUCGGCGGCAUCGAGUGGUCGGACGGGAAGCAUCACGUGUGGAGCCCCAUCGUGGCCACCACCAAGUGCGGCUAG